AAGUCGUGGUGCGAGCAUCUUCGAAACAAGGCCUUAUACCUUUCCCAUGCUUCGUUCAAAGACUCAUAGUCCAACUGUGUGAAAGAAGUUAUAUCAUUCCUUAUCUU
rnacentral:snoRNA from 1 species